AGGCUUCGGAGGGGAGACGCCGCGUGCCGACGAGAGGUCCGAGAGGUUGUGCGCCGGCUGCCUUUGGGCCUGGAUGCGCGUUUGAGAUGAUGAAAAGGCACCUGGCCCUUGGAGGACCGAUGCAGUGGGC